CACUACUUAGGCUUUUAAGAUCUGAUUGCGGUUCUAGUUCUUAUACUCAAUGAUACACAUGACAUCAAGUCAUAUUUGACUCCAAAACACUAACCAAGUUUCUUCUUGCUUCUCAAACAAAACUUUGAUGGUGUAGCUGAUGUCCGUAUGAGUCUUUGGCUUUGUAUCUUCUAACAAGGAAACACUACUUAGGCUAUUAAGAUUCGGUUGCGGUUUAAGUUCUUAUACUCAAUCAUACACAUGACAUCUAGUCAUAUUUGACUGCUAGAAACUAAUAAAGCUUCUUCUUGCUUCUCAAAGCCUUAUCGUGUAGUCGUAGUUCGUAUGAGUCUUUGUCUUUGUAUCUUCUAAU
rnacentral:sRNA from 1 species